AGUGAGGUAGCUCAGUUGGUUAGAGCGCGCCCUUCAUACGGGUGAAGUCAGGAGUUCAAAUCUCCUCCUCACUACCA
rnacentral:tRNA from 1 species